rnacentral:rRNA from 1 species
UACGGAGGGGGUUAGCGUUGUUCGGAAUGACUGGGCGUAAAGCGCGCGUAGGCGGAUCAGGAAGUUGGGGGUGAAAUCCCGGGGCUCAACCCCGGAAUGGCCUUCAAAACUCCUGGUCUUGAGUUCGAGAGAGGUGAGUGGAAUUCCGAGUGUAGAGGUGAAAUUCGUAGAUAUUCGGAGGAACACCAGUGGCGAAGGCGGCUCACUGGCUCGACACUGACGCUGAGGUGCGAAAGCGUGGGGAUCAAACAGG